rnacentral:rRNA from 1 species
UGCGUAGGCGGACCAGUAAGUCAGUGGUGAAAUCUUUCGGCUCAACCGAGAAACUGCCAUUGAUACUGUUGGUCUUGAGUUCGGCAGAGGUAGGCGGAAUGUGUAAUGUAGCGGUGAAAUGCUUAGAUAUUACACAGAACACCGAUUGCGUAGGCAGCUUACUAUACCGACACUGACGCUGAGGCACGAAAGCGUGGGUAGCGAACAGGAUUAGAUACCCUGGUAGUCC